AGGAUGAACGCUAGCGGCAGGCUUAACACAUGCAAGUCGAGGGGGCAUCGGGAGUAGCAAUACUUGCCGGCGACCGGCGCAAGGGUGCGUAACGCGUGAGCAACAUGCCCGUAUCAGGGGGAUAAUCCAUGGAAACGUGGUCUAAUACCCCAUAGUAAUUAUGUAAGGCAUCUUAUAUAAUUUAAAGCUUUGGUGGAUACGGAUUGGCUCGCGUGACAUUAGCUGGAUGGUAAGGUAACGGCUUACCAUGGCUACGAUGUCUAGGGGUUCUGAGAGGAAGGUCCCCCCACACUGGAACUGAGACACGGUCCAGACUCCUACGGGAGGCAGCAGUGAGGAAUAUUGGACAAUGGAUGGAAUCUGAUCCAGCCAUGCCGCGUGCAGGGAAAACGACCGGACCCUAGUGGGUUAGUAAACUGUCUUUUGUAUGGGAGCAAUAAGGGCUACGUGUAGUCCGAUGAGAGUACCAUACGAAUAAGCACCGGCUAACUCCGUGCCAGCAGCUGC
rnacentral:rRNA from 1 species